rnacentral:rRNA from 1 species
UACGGGGGGGGUAAGCGUUGUUCGGAAUUACUGGGCGUAAAGGGCUCGUAGGCGGCCAACUAAGUCAGACGUGAAAUCCCUCAGCUUAACUGGGGAACUGCGUCUGAUACUGGAUGGCUUGGAUUCGGGAGAGGGGGAUGGAAUUCCGCGUGUAGCAGUGAAAUGCGUAGAUAUGCGGAGGAACACCGAUGGCGAAGGCAAUCCCCUGGGCCUGCACUGACGCUCAUGCACGAAAGCGUGGGGAGCAAACAGG